GAUGAAGAACGCAGCGAAAUGCGAUAAGUAAUGUGAAUUGCAGAAUUCAGUGAAUCAUCGAAUCUUUGAACGCACAUUGCGCCCCCUGGUAUUCCGGGGGGCAUGCCUGUCCGAGCGUCAUUACAACCCUCAAGCUCAGCUUGGUGUUGGGCCCCGCCGCCCCGGCGGGCCCUAAAGUCAGUGGCGGUGCCGUCCGGCUCCGAGCGUAGUAAUUCUUCUCGCUCUGGAGGUCCGGUCGUGUGCUCGCCAGCAACCCCCAAUUUUUUUCAGGUUGACCUCGGAUCAGGUAGGGAUACCCGCUGAACUUAAGCAUAUCAAUAAGCAGAGGA
rnacentral:misc_RNA from 1 species